rnacentral:lncRNA from 1 species
UUGUCGCUUUGGCCUUAAUGAUCUCAUCCCAUCUUGUCGCUUUGGCCUUGAUGCGGAUCCAAAAGUUACUCUGUCGCUUCAGCCAGAGUUCAACUACAGUAGGGUAUAAGUGUAGAGUCUUAGGUAGUUGAUAAUUACAGAUGAACCUAACCCCAAGAGGUUCUAAGUACCCACAAUACAAAAUCUAUUUUGUCGCUAUGGCCUUAAUUGAUUUAAAUCGUUUUGUCGCUAUGGCCUUAACGAUCCUACCCCAUCUUGUCGCUUUGGCCUUGAUACGGGUCCAAAAGUUACUCUGUCGCUUCGGCCAGAGCUCAACUACACAUUAGGGAAUGAAAUCUAGAAUCUUAGGUUCUCCAAAAAGUUCUAAGUCCUAUUCCCGACAAUUUUUGUAUCUCUAACUUAUUACGUCAAUUAACUUUGCGAGUCUUAAGUUAGUUGUGAAGUUUAAUUUAUUUCACGAAUUUAGCCGUAGACUGAGCUACGAUUCGUACGACCAAGCCUACGCCCAGAGUGGCUAGCAAUAGGGUUACCAGAGUCUAAUUUACGUCCAGAGUGGCUAAAUUACGACUUGUGAAUCUAGUUUCGGGUCUUAGUUACAAUUCGACAAAUAAAUUAAAUAAACAAUUAAUUAAGAAAGCAAAAUAAUUGGUUAAAAUAAGUUCCAAAAAUAUUACAAAAAUAUUACACUCUCCUAACACUUCUGUCGCUUCGGCCAGAAGUCAUCACACUUCAGGGGGGAGUAUCACAAACUCUCCCGGCACUUCUGUCGCUUUGGCCAGAAGUCGUCAAAUUCAAGGGAAGAGUAUCACAAACUCUCCCAAUACUUCUGUC